rnacentral:lncRNA from 1 species
UUAUUUUAUUUUGAUCUUACAUUAUUAACCAUCCAAAAAUCUAAUUUUCUCUUUAAAACUCUGUAAAAAAAUUCUCACAAAUAUUAUAGCCUUAUAUGCUUUCAAAAUUUUAAUGUUUUGAAUGUUAAUAUAGGCAUGAUGUGUAUGGUUUUCAUCUUCAAAGUUUAAAAAAGAAAAUAUAUGCAGAUUUUGUUGAUAGUAUUUGCAAGCCCACCAACUGAGAAGAGAUUGAAAACUGAAAUUGAGGAUUUGGCUGUUGAAAAAAAAUGUAGACACUGUAGCAUUUUGCACUGAAAACUAAAAGAGCACUUGGUGUUGUGGGGCAACACAGAAAAUGAAUUACAGAGAUUUGGGGCUGAAGGUAUUUUGUGCUUCUGCCUGAAAUCAUGAAGGAUCAAGGAGAAGGGAAAAAAGACCAGAUGCUUUGAAUUCUCAGCAUCUGACAGACUAGGUAAAAUAACUGAAAACAUAUCAAUUUUAUGUAAGUGAAUAAUAGCCUAUGGUGCUAUGCAGACUCCACACAUUUUUACAUACAUUAUUUUGACCAUGAAAACUUAUCCUUAUAACUAUAGAAGUUCAAACUUAGAAGCAUUUUGAAAGCUGCAGUAACAAUUAGCUCAGCUCUUAUUCCUGAAGACAUUGGAUGCCUGACAUAUCCCUUGAAAAGUUGAGAAAUAAAUCAUGACCAUAGAACAGAAUACAUCAAUUUUAGACAAAAGUCUCAUUAAUCUCAACCAAAGGUAUGGGGUGGAUAAGGCGAGGUCUGCAGGUCUCUUCAAAACAAAACAUGCAAAACUCACAAGAUUGUGUUUUGAUAUCUGAUACCAAACUUGGCUGCCAAAAAGGCACCCGUUACAGCUCAUUUUCCAGAAAUUGUCUGUAAGCAUCUUGAGGAGUUUUACAAAUUGUUUCAAACAGGUUUCUAAGGAAACCAACUUUGUGCAAUGAGACUAUCAGUGAGUCUUGAUAAACGGAAUUGUGCAAAGUGCCAAUGAUUCCUUCAGAAUUCCUUAGUGGGCCUUUUCUACUAUAUGUUUGUUAACAAAUCCAUAUGGAGGUAUGUAAGAUAGAUAGAAGACAACUUGCUAAAGACUCAAGGAAAGUCUAUGCCUAUAAGUCAAAUAUCAAGAGUAGAAAUCAAGUUGCACUGGAAACAUGGAAGCCUAGGGACAAAGCUUGCUGAAAAAGUGGGUACACUUCUCAGGGUGUAAGAGAAGCCCAUACAAGGGACAAGGGGGGUAGUAGGGCACUGGUGAGAAUGAUGAAUAUUCUCAAAACACAAUUGUCUAUGUGAUAUUUCCCUUUGAUAAAUUAUCCACCAAAUCCGGCUAGGUAGGUGUGACAUGUGUGCCUUUAGUUACGCUAUGGUGGAGACAGAGGCGGGUAGAUUUAUGAUAGCCUGGUAUACAUAACACGUUUCAAACUAGCCAGGAUUACAUAGUGAGACCAUGUCUCAGAAAGAAAAAAAAAAAUCCCCCAAAUCUCAAAGGUAAGGUUUUACUUUCUUCCUCAUUAGAAGAUUACAGCUUAAUACACUGUUUCUGUCUCCCACACUGAAUAUAAAAACAAAGCAAACC